rnacentral:rRNA from 1 species
GACGUAGGGGGCAAGCGUUGUCCGGAAUUAUUGGGCGUAAAGCGCGCGUAGGCGGACCUGCAAGUCGGGGGUGAAAGCCCGAGGCUCAACCUCGGAACUGCCUUCGAUACUGCGGGUCUCGAGUCCGGGAGAGGUGAGUGGAAUUCCUAGUGUAGAGGUGAAAUUCGUAGAUAUUAGGAAGAACACCAGUGGCGAAGGCGGCUCACUGGCCCGGUACUGACGCUGAGGCGCGAAAGCGUGGGGAGCAAACAGG